UACUCCUACGGGAGGCAGCAGUGGGGAAUAUUGCACAAUGGGGGAAACCCUGAUGCAGCCAUGCCGCGUGCGUGAAGAAGGCCUUCGGGUUGUAAAGCACUUUCAGUAGGGAGGAAGGUAGUGUAGUUAACACCUGCAUUAUUUGACGUUACCUACAGAAGAAGCACCGGCUAACUCCGUGCCAGCAGCCGCGGUAAU
rnacentral:rRNA from 1 species